UUGAUUUUCUCUUUGACUUAGUGGCGGACGGGUGAGUAAUGCGUGAGCAACCUGGCCUUCGAGGGGGACAACAGUUGGAAACGACUGCUAAUACCACAUAUAGCACACGGGAGGCAUCUCCUGUGUAUGAAAGAUUUAUCGCCGAAGGAUGGGCUCACGUCUGAUUAGUUAGUUGGUGAGGUAACGGCUCACCAAGACUGCGAUCAGUAGCCGGACUGAGAGGUUGAACGGCCACAUUGGGACUGAGAUACGGCCCAGACUCC
rnacentral:rRNA from 1 species